UUGACAAAGUGGUAGUUGAGAGAAAUGCCAGUCCCAGCAUCAAAGGUGGAACUGCGGGUGUCACUAUUAAAGUCGCAGGAGACAACCUGGUCCUCAGUUUAGCCCAGCAUACCCUUGAGGGAAGUCCUUCAAUGCAUGCUUCACCACUUUCUUGAUGUUAUUGUAUUUG
rnacentral:lncRNA from 1 species